CCUACGGGAGGCAGCAGUGGGGAAUAUUGCACAAUGGGGGAAACCCUGAUGCAGCGACGCCGCGUGAGUGAAGAAGUAUUUCGGUAUGUAAAGCUCUAUCAGCAGGGAAGAAGAAAGACGGUACCUGACUAAGAAGCCCCGGCUAACUACGUGCCAGCAGCCGCGGUAAUACGUAGGGGGCAAGCGUUAUCCGGAUUUACUGGGUGUAAAGGGAGCGUAGGCGGCUGUGCAAGUCUGAAGUGAAAGCCCAGUGCUCAACCCUGGGACUGCUGUGGAAACUGGGGAGCUAGAGUGCAGGAGAGGUAAGUGGAAUUCCUAGUGUAGCGGUGAAAGGCGUAGAUAUUAGGAGGAACACCAGUGGCGAAGGCGGCUUACUGGACAGUAACUGACGUUGAGGCUCGAAAGCGUGGGGAGCAAACAGGAUUAGAUACCCUAGUAGUC
rnacentral:rRNA from 1 species